rnacentral:misc_RNA from 1 species
AAGUCGUAACAUAACCGGUAAAUCAUUGCCAAACAGUUUUGAUUCGGGACCUCUGUCCAUGGAAGCAGUGGCAUGGCUUCCCCAAGCAGUUAGUGAAUGACAUGUCACUGACUGUGUAAGGAUAACGCCUCACGGUUGCUAGAGGUCGAUCACCGACCGGCAGACAUGUCACAGGGUCACCACGCCCCUUAAUCACUCCACUUGAAAUGCCCCGCCUAGUAACGCGCUAGGUAAAAAAACCGAACAACUGUUAACAAUGGAUAUCUUGGUUCUC